rnacentral:rRNA from 1 species
GACGAACGCUAGCGGCAGGCUUAACACAUGCAAGUCGAGGGGCAGCGUGAGGGUUAGCAAUAACCCUUGACGGCGACCGGCGCAAGGGUGCGUAACGCGUGAGCAACUUGCCCUUAUCAGGGGGAUAACCGGUGGAAACGCCGACUAAUACCCCAUAGUAUCAAUAUAAGGCAUCUUUUAUUGAUUAAAGAAUUUCGGAAACGGAUAGGCUCGCGUGACAUUAGCUAGAUGGCGGGGUAACGGCCCACCAUGGCGACGAUGUCUAGGGGUUCUGAGAGGAAGGUCCCCCACACUGGAACUGAGACACGGUCCAAACUCCUACGGGAGGCAGCAGUGAGGAAUAUUGGUCAAUGGUCGAGAGACUGAACCAGCCAAAGUCGCGUGAGGGAAGACUGCCCUAUGGGUUGUAAACCUCUUUAG